UACGUAGGGGGCAAGCGUUGUCCGGAUUUAUUGGGCGUAAAGAGCGUGUAGGCGGCCAGGUAGGUCCGUUGUGAAAACUCGAGGCUCAACCUCGAGACGCCGAUGGAAACCAUCUGGCUAGAGUCCGGAAGAGGAGAGUGGAAUUCCCGGUGUAGCGGUGAAAUGCGCAGAUAUCGGGAAGAACACCCGUGGCUAAGGCGGCUCUCUAGUACGGUACUGACGCUGAGGCGCGAAAGCUAGGGGAGCAAACGGG
rnacentral:rRNA from 1 species